UGUAAGUAUUUUAUAAGCCUAUAAUAUUAAAAAAAAGAAAAGAAAGAGUGAUAUUUAUGUUAAUAUUUAAUAAAUUUUAAAAAAAAUGUCCAUACACCAAAGAAAAUGUAUGCUUUAGCCUUGUACUUAUAGACAUUUUAUUCAACUAUUCUUUGUACUGUUCUAAAAGUUAUUAAGAAAGAAAUAAUUCUAUUUCCAAUCAUACCAACUUCUAUACAGUAUUGUCAUAUCAAUAGUUCACAGAAUAUAGUACAUAUUAAAAUAUUUUUAAAAUCUAUAGUUUCUAAUUUUUAUAAAAUGAUCUAUAAUAAUACAAAGAAAUAAAAGUACUGCUAUAAGUAGCAGUAAUAUAUUUUGUUUCUGGCAUAAUUGCAAACAAAGUUCAUUUUUAUCUGGCAAAAGAAAAGAAAUGAUUAAACAGCACAUUCAAUGAAGUAAAACUUCAUUAGAAUUAGGGUUGACAAAACAUGCACAGUUCAGCUAAGUACAUAAAACAAAGAAUAAAAAAGAACUAUGCAUAGAUCUCAUCAAAAUUAAAGAUGACACUUGCAUGCAAUAAUGAACAACAAUUGCUUUAAUUAUUACAAAUAUUAAAGCUAAAAUAAAAAUAAUAUAUAUAUAUAUAUAUAUAUAUA